rnacentral:rRNA from 1 species
GACGAACCGUGCGAACGUUAUUCGGAAUCACUGGGCUUAAAGCGCGUGUAGGCGGGACGGCACGUCGGUCGCUGAAAUCCCCCGGCUCAACCGGGGAACGGGCGCCGAUACGACCGCCCUGGAGGGACGUAGGGGGACCUGGAACUUCCGGUGGAGCGGUGAAAUGCGUUGAGAUCGGAAGGAACGCCCGUGGCGAAAGCGAGGUCCUGGACGUUUACUGACGCUGAGACGCGAAAGCCAGGGGAGCGAACCGG